rnacentral:rRNA from 2 species
UGGGGAAUAUUGCACAAUGGAGGAAACUCUGAUGCAGCGAUGCCGCGUGAGGGAAGAAGGUUUUAGGAUUGUAAACCUCUGUCUUCAGGGACGAAAAAAGGACGGUACCUGAGGAAGAAGCUUCGGCUAACUACGUGCCAGCAGCCGCGGUAAUACGUAGGGAGCGAGCGUUGUCCGGAAUUACUGGGUGUAAAGGGAGCGUAGGCGGGAUCGCAAGUCAGAUGUGAAAACUAUGGGCUUAACCCAUAAACUGCAUUUGAAACUGUGGUUCUUGAGUGAAGUAGAGGUAAGCGGAAUUCCUAGUGUAGCGGUGAAAUGCGUAGAUAUUAGGAGGAACAUCAGUGGCGAAGGCGGCUUACUGGGCUUUAACUGACGCUGAGGCUCGAAAGCGUGGGGAGCAAACAGGAUUAGAUACCCUGGUAGUCCACGCCGUAAACGAUGAUUACUAGGUGUGGGGGGACUGACCCCUUCCGUGCCGCAGCAAACGCAAUAAGUAAUCCACCUGGGGAGUACGACCGCAAGGUUGAAACUCAAAGGAAUUGACGGGGGCCCGCACAAGCAGUGGAGUAUGUGGAUUAAUUCGAAGCAACGCGAAGAACCUUACCAGGUCUUGACAUCGUAUGCAUAGCUCAGAGAUGAGUGAAAUCUCUUCGGAGACAUAUAGACAGGUGGUGCAUGGUUGUCGUCAGCUCGUGUCGUGAGAUGUUGGGUUAAGUCCCGCAACGAGCGCAACCCUUACUGUUAGUUGCUACGCAAGAGCACUCUAGCAGGACUGCCGUUGACAAAACGGAGGAAGGUGGGGAUGACGUCAAAUCAUCAUGCCCCUUAUGACCUGGGCCUCACACGUACUACAAUGGCUGUAAACAGAGGGAAGCAAAGCCGCGAGGUAGAGCGAACCCCUAAAAGCAGUCUUAGUUCGGAUUGUAGGCUGCAACCCGCCUACAUGAAGUCGGAAUUGCUAGUAAUCGCAGAUCAGCAUGCUGCGGUGAAUACGUUCCC